rnacentral:rRNA from 1 species
AUUGAACGCUGGCGGCAGGCUUAACACAUGCAAGUCGAGCGAGCGGCGGACGGGUGAGUAAUGUCUGGGAAACUGCCUGAUGGAGGGGGAUAACUACUGGAAACGGUAGCUAAUACCGCAUACCAUCGGAUUUGCACAGAUGGGAUUAGGUAGUAGGUGGGGUAAAGGCUCACCUAGGCGACGAUCCCUAGCUGGUCUGAGAGGAUGACCAGCCACACUGGAACGGAGACACGGUCCAGACUCCUACGUGAGGCAGCAGUGGGGAAUAGUGGACAAUGGGCGCAAGCCUGAUGCAGCCAGGCCGCGUGUAUGAAGACGGCCUUCGGGUUGUAAAGCACGUUCAGCGAGGAGGCGUUACUCGCAGAAGAAGCACCGGCUAACUCCGUGCCAGCCGCCGCGGUAAUUC